rnacentral:rRNA from 1 species
CGGGUGGCUGCAGCAGUGGGGAAUAUUGCACAAUGGAGGAAACUCUGAUGCAGCAACGCCGCGUGGAGGAUGACACUUUUCGGAGCGUAAACUCCUUUUAUAUAGGAAGAAGAUGACGGUACUAUAUGAAUAAGCGCCGGCUAACUCCGUGCCAGCAGCCGCGGUAAUACGGAGGGCGCAAGCGUUACUCGGAAUCACUGGGCGUAAAGAGCGUGUAGGCGGAUUAAAAAGUCAGAAGUGAAAUCCUAUAGCUUAACUAUAGAACUGCUUCUGAAACUCUUAAUCUAGAAUAUGGGAGAGGUAGAUGGAAUUUCUGGUGUAGGGGUAAAAUCCGUAGAGAUCAGAAGGAAUACCGAUUGCGAAGGCGAUCUACUAGAACAUUAUUGACGCUGAGACGCGAAAGCGUGGGGAGCAAACAGGAUUAGAUACCCGUGUAGUC